GGGCGUAUGGUGGAUGCCUUGACUCAAGUGAGCGAUGAAGGACGUAGCGAUCUGCGAUAAGCCUCGGGGAGCUGAUGAGCAAGCUUUGAUCCGGGGAUUUCCGAAUGCGGCAACGCAUCUCGAUUCAUAUCGGGAUAUUACUGUCUGAAUUCAUAGGACAGUGAAGCGUACCCAGGGAACUGAAACAUCUUAGUACCUGGAGGAAAAUAAAUCCAAAAGAUUCCGUCAGUAGUGGCGAGCGAAAGCGGAGAAGCCUAAACCGUUUCACUUCGGUGAAGCGGGGUUGCGAGAUAAUAACGUCCUAUCUUGUAAAACGUUGAAUAUAGUUGUCAGCGUUUUACUCGACGGGAGUGAAGUUACAAAUUGUUUUGUUAGCUGAACAAUUCUGGAAAGUGAGACCAAAGAGGGUAAUAGUCCCGUAAGCGAAAACGAAACAACUUUAUUGUUAUUAUUCUCAAGUAAGGCGGGACCGGAGAAAUCCCGUCUGAAGCCGGGGCCACUAUAGCUCCAAGGCUAAAUAUCACUUGAGAUCGAUAGCGAACUAGUACCGUGAGGGAAAGGUGAAAAGAACCCCGAUGAGGGGAGUGAA
rnacentral:rRNA from 1 species